rnacentral:rRNA from 1 species
GAUGAACGCUGGCGGCGUGCCUAACACAUGCAAGUCGAGCGUGAUUUAUGAGGACGAAACUUCGGUCUAGGAAUCAUAAUGAAAGCGGCGGACGGAUGAGUAACGCGUAGGCAACCUGCCCUUGACACAGGGAUAGCCUCGGGAAACCGGGAUUAAAACCUGAUAACGCCAAAGAGCCGCAUGGCUCUUGGGCCAAAGAUUUAUCGGUCAAGGAUGGGCCUGCGUCUGAUUAGUUAGUUGGUGGGGUAACGGCCUACCAAGACGAAGAUCAGUAGCCGACCAGAGAGGGUGAUCGGCCACAUUGGAACUGAGAUACGGUCCAAACUCCUACGGGAGGCAGCAGUGGGGAAUAUUGCACAAUGGGCGAAAGCCUUAUGCAGCAACGCCGCGUGAGCGAUGAAGGCCUUUGGGUCGUAAAGCUCUGUCCUUGGGGAAGAAACAAAUGACGGUACCAAGGAGGAAGCCCCGGCUAACUACGUGCCAGCCGCCGCCGUAACAC